rnacentral:rRNA from 1 species
GACGAACGCUGGCGGCGUGCUUAACACAUGCAAGUCGAACGGAAAGGCCCGGCUUUUGUGGGGUGCUCGAGUGGCGAGAGCGGGAGUAUCACGCGUGUAACCUGCCCUUGAGUUUGGGGUAACAUCUGGGAACAGGAGCGCAUACCGCGUAUGAGCUCCUUCUGCAUGGGGUUGGUGGGAGAGAGUCGGUGGUUGGGGAUGGACGCGCGGCUUAUCAGCUUGUUGGUGAGGUAGUGGCGUACCAAGGCGUUGACGGGUAGCCGGCCUGAGAGGGUGACCGGCCACAUUGGGACUGAGGUACGGGCAAGACUGCUACGGGGGGCAGGGGUGGGAAACAUUGCACAAUGGGCGGAAGCCUGAUGGAGCAACGUCGGGUGCGGGAUGACGGCUUGCGGGUUGUAAAGCGCUUUAGCCUGUGACGCAGAGUGAGUGACGGUAAUGGGUAAAGAAGCACCGGCUAACUACGUG